CCUACGGGUGGCUGCAGUGGGGAAUAUUGCACAAUGGGCGCAAGCCUGAUGCAGCCAUGCCGCGUGUGUGAAGAAGGCCUUCGGGUUGUAAAGCACUUUCAGCGGGGAGGAAGGCGCUAAGGUUAAUAACCUUGGCGAUUGACGUUACCCGCAGAAGAAGCACCGGCUAACUCCGUGCCAGCAGCCGCGGUAAUACGGAGGGUACAAGCGUUAAUCGGAAUUACUGGGCGUAAAGCGCACGCAGGCGGUCUGUCAAGUCGGAUGUGAAAUCCCCGGGCUCAACCUGGGAACUGCAUUCGAAACUGGCAGGCUAGAGUCUUGUAGAGGGGGGUAGAAUUCCAGGUGUAGCGGUGAAAUGCGUAGAGAUCUGGAGGAAUACCGGUGGCGAAGGCGGCCCCCUGGACAAAGACUGACGCUCAGGUGCGAAAGCGUGGGGAGCAAACAGGAUUAGAUACCCUUGUAGUC
rnacentral:rRNA from 1 species